AACGAACGCUGGCGGCAUGCCUAACACAUGCAAGUCGAACGAGACCUUCGGGUCUAGUGGCGCACGGGUGCGUAACGCGUGGGAACCUGCCCUUAGGUUCGGAAUAACUCCCCGAAAGGGGUGCUAAUACCGGAUAAUGUCUUCGGAUCAAAGAUUUAUCGCCUUUGGAUGGGCCCGCGUUGGAUUAGCUAGUUGGUAGGGUAAAAGCCUACCAAGGCGACGAUCCAUAGCUGGUCUGAGAGGAUGAUCAGCCACACUGGGACUGAGACACGGCCCAGACUCCUACGGGAGGCAGCAGUGGGGAAUAUUGGACAAUGGGCGAAAGCCUGAUCCAGCAAUGCCGCGUGAGUGAUGAAGGCCUUAGGGUUGUAAAGCUCUUUUACCCGGGAUGAUAAUGACAGUACCGGGAGAAUAAGCGCCGGCUAACUCCGUG
rnacentral:rRNA from 1 species